GCCCCGGUGGCGGAAUGGCAUACGCAGCAGGUUGAGGGCCUGUGCCCUUGUGGCGUGGAGGUUCGAGUCCUCUCCGGGGCA
rnacentral:tRNA from 1 species